UCGGGAUAGCUCAGCUGG
rnacentral:tRNA from 7 species